AUUGAAUGCUGGCGGCAGGCCUAACACAUGCAAGUCGAACGAGUGGCGGACGGGUGAGUAACAUCUGGGAAACCGCCCGAUGGAGGGGGAUAACUACUCGAAACGGUAGCUAAUACCGCAUAUCCUCCGAUGUGCUCACAUGGGAUUGUAUAGAUGGGGGGGUAACGGCUCACCUGGGCGACGAUCCCCAGCUGGUCUGAGAGGAUGACCAGCCACACGGGAAAUGAGACACGGUCCAGACUCCUACGGGAGGCAGCAGUGGGGAAUAUUGCACAAUGGGCGCAAGCCUGAUGCAGCCAUGCCGCGUGUAUGAAGAAGGCCUUCGGGUUGUAAAGUACUUUCAGCGAGGAGGCGGUACUCGCAGAAGAAGCACCGGCUAACUCCGUGCCAGCAGCCGCGGUAAUUC
rnacentral:rRNA from 1 species